CAUCAUCAUAUCAUAUUCAGCUCUAAACCCAGAAAUCCUAAAACAUAAACUUAUCAAAAUCCACAAAUUAGUAAUCACAAAACACACAUAAAAGCUUUCCCUUUCAUACCUGCUGCAAUUUCCAGUGAAAGUCAUGAGCAACAACCAACACAGAACCAACAACGAACAAUCGAAAUCCAUACAGGUUAAUAUCUAAGAUUCAAAAUUUUCCCUUUCAAAAUCGAAAUCCAUAAAAGCUUCACAUAUUUCUUUCCAGUAUACACGUAAAGAAAGAUCCUGUUGUCACAAGCUUCACAUACUCGUAGCUUCAUAUAUUAUAGAACCUUAGUUCAUGAAAUCUUUGAUCUAUCUCUUACCUUAUUUUUUUCCUAAUAAAACUUAACCAAUAUUUUUACUUCCAUCAUUAUUAGAACCGAGGAAAUUGAUUGUUGAACCUUGUGGUGUUACUUUUGGAGUGGUAGAUUCUGUGAUAUCCAUGUUCUACUUUGGCAUCCACUUCUCAAAUUGGGUCCAAAUUUCUUCUCACGAUUUUCAAAUGUAAAACUAGAGGUAUGAAAACACACAUCCCUGAAUGAUAGAGGUGAUGAAUCCUCUUUUGAGUUGGAUUCUUCAUCUUUUGUGUUCAUGAUUGGUUCGGCGUUUGGAUUCAAACUAGGAGAAGCUUGGGUUGUUGUUGAUGAUUUGGAUUUUGCAGAUUAUGAAUUAAC
rnacentral:lncRNA from 1 species